AGUGAACGCUGGCGGCAGGCCUAACACAUGCCAGUCGAACGGCAGCACAAGAGAGCUUGCUCUCUGGGUGGCGAGUGGCGGACGGGUGAGGAAUGCAUCGGAAUCUGCCCAUUUGUGGGGGAUAACCUCGGGAAACCGGGACUAAUACCGCAUACGACCUACGGGUGAAAGCAGGGGAUCUUCGGACCUUGCGCAGAUGGAUGAGCCGAUGCCGGAUUAACUAGUUGGAGGGGUAAAGGCCCACCAAGGCGACGAUCCGUAGCUGGUCUGAGAGGAUGAUCAGCCACACUGGGACUGAGACACGGCCCAGACUCCUACGGGAGGCAGCAGUGGGGAAUAUUGGACAAUGGGCGCAAGCCUGAUCCAGCCAUGCCGCGUGUGUGAAGAAGGCCUUCGGGUUGUAAAGCACUUUUGUUGGGAAAGAAAAGCAGCCGGUUAAUACCCGGUUGUCAUGACGGUACCCAAAGAAUAAGCACCGGCUAACUUCGUG
rnacentral:rRNA from 1 species